CGCAAAUCCAACAGUUCUCCAGCCAUCUUAGCAAGGCUUCUGAGAGCGCGGGGAGCAGGAGCUCACUUCAGUUUGCAUACAAAUCAUCUGUGUAAGGAUAGUCAAAUGAGCGGGAGAUAAAGAGAUAGAAGAGAAAAGACAAGAGAGGACGUCUGUAAGGGGGUUGGGGACAGAAGAGGAAGGCAGGAAUUAGAGCUGGAGAAUCACAACAUGGGGUGCAAGAAACAUCAAGGGCAAAAAAAGGAGAAACACAGAGAAGUCGCGAGGAGCACGGAGACAUUUGGGCAUACUUCAGCCACCCAACUGUUCAAUUUAAAUCAUCUCCAAGAGAGACAGAUUGAGAAAUUCGCAUCAAGCUGUGAAUGCAGAUGUUGCCCACCAAAAACCGGAGACUUCCUGUUGAGCUGCGAUUAUUAAGUUUCCAGUAAGCAGGGUCACUCCAGGGGCAGUGAGUGAUGUUACAGCGGUGAUCUGAGAGGGCAGGAUGGGUAGCAAGCCUUCCCAACUGCUCCGUGUUCCUGUAUGCCACAAAGAGAACAUGGGAG